UUUGGGCUGUGAGCUUUUCGUGAGGUGUAGUUUUGCUGCAGACAGGAACGGCACUGGUCUGAUGUAUUUUAUUUGCAUUUCAGUUUGUUCUUCUUGUGUAUUUUCGUGAAUUUCGUUAGUUGUAAUGUUUAUUUAUUUGUUUUUUUUUCACAUCUUUACAUUGUACAUAUGUACUAUAGAAUUAUAGAGGUAUUUUAUUAAUUAGUUUUAUUUCGACAAUGAUGACUUUGAUCAAACUCGACUAGUUAAGUUCUAAACGUACAGUUCAUACUUAAGUCUUCUGAUGUCGCGUUGGUUCACUGCUAAUUUAGUGAACGCGCUAGCUAACACUUUUUUUUAAUUUUUUUGGUUUAUUUUUUUUUUAGAUCAUCGAAAGCUUUUAUUCGUAAGAAAUUCUAUUGUCCUGUUAACUGACGUAAUGAGGGAAAAAAAUAUUCCAUGUUGAACUGCGCAGAGUUUUUGGUUUCGACAAAAUGGCGCAGAUGUCGAGAAAACAAAAUGGCCGCCGUUAAAGACGAGUCUAACUGGUUACGUUGUGAAACUAACGCAUUUUUUUGUAUACGUUUUCUGUUUUAUUUCUAAAGUCUGUUCAUUUUAGUUCAUUACUCGCUUUCAGUUUCUGUGAAAACUGGUAUUUUAGGCCAUUUGGCUUACGGUGGCGUAAUCACGUUUAAAAAACGCCUUUUAUCAAAUCGAUGGGAUUUUUCAACGGGUUUUUUUUGUUGUAACUUGAAUACGCCGCAUCGACGGCGAUUAUAUUGAGUUUCCUCAAGAACUGAGUAUUUUUCAUUUGUUUAUUACUCAUUUUAAUAUGUCGGUCGAUGGCAUCGAUUUUUUUUUUUUUCUUUGUCGUUUUGGAAACUUGGACUGAGUUUAAUAAGGACUUAGCUGUAAUUAGCUGUAACCACAAAAAGAAGAGAUCGGGAUCAGAGGGAGAAGCGAGGACCAGUCGACAGCCAGGGGAGGAUCAGGAGAGCUCAGGCCAGUUUGGAGAAGAUGUCGAUCUGGGAAGAGAAGCGGGGCAAGGCGGUGGUCCAGAGGGGAAAAGGGAUCAAUUCAGAGUAGCGACAGCACCACAUGUGGCCACAAGGGGGAGCACAGCCGAUCUAGACCAGACGAGUCCAAAGGCAGCAAGACACAGCACAGAGGGAGGGAGAGAGGGAUGUUCAGGGCCAUCUACAUAGCAUCUUAGUUAUUAGAAGAGGGCGCUUGGUUUGUAUAACGGGUAUAGGUAUCUGUAUACAUUUAAAGUAAAAUUUAUUUUCCCCCCUCAGGUUUUUGUAGAAUGCAUUUGCUCGCAAAAGCUCUGUUCUUUCUUUUCAGACGUGGUGUAUGAAUGUGUGAAAUUCACCGUCAAAGUGUGAGCCACCCUGUUGUUGAUCAAGUCGGGUUUCUGCUGUGAUGAGUGCCUGUAAUCGGCGAUGCACCCUCGUACCAUACAGAUGUAGUCUUCCCCGGAGGAAAGGCGUCUCUCUUUCUGUCCUACUUGCAAUCCAAUAGGUCUGAUCCAAGGUACAAGCUACGUGAACGGUUGUUGGGAGUUGGAAGUUCUUCUGCUUCGCUGUGCUGCUACACAUCGUCUGUCACUACAGUCACGUCCGUGUUCCUCAUGUAUUCGGUGCUGAGGCCAUUGUGUUUCGUUUGCUGGUAAACUUGCCCUCUAAGUUUAUGCAUGAUUAAAAAAAAAAAGCCUUGGAUUUAAAGGGAGUAACUAUUCCCUUGUUUAAUUCCGAUGUAGACUUUGCAAAUGCAGUCUAUAGCGUUUAUUCAGGUAUGAAAACCUACGUCUUUUGGGGCAGUGGGGAGGGACAACUGCGCUUGAGUUUUUUCUUUCACAGGCCAAUCUCAAAGCAAUAGCACCAAGGGCAUCCUUUGCUGUAAUGCACCAAGUGUUCUAAGCUUGAGUAAGUAAUGAUGCAAGGACAAGUGAAUUUCAAUUACUUUGCACUUGGAAACAUAGGCCAAUACAUAAUACCUUUCUAUUACAUUUUUUACAUUUCUUGUAUUUGGGAUGUGGAAAGGGGGUGGGGGGUGUUAACUGAAAUCUCUUCCUAGCCUUUGCAGCUUUUCAGAGUGGCUUAGUUAGAGAACUGAAUAAUGCUGUAUGGUGAAGGAACCUGCAGUCUGUGACUGACCAUAGAAGGCAGCUAGCCCAAGGCAUGGGACCAAGGAAGGAAUCCAAAGGCAUCAAAGAAAUACACUAGUAUCGUAAGAUGGCACACUAUCAGGAUUGUGUUGAAUGUGUACCUCUGUUCCAUUUAUGGAUAUUGAGUCAUGGGGUUUUGGGACUGGGGACUGCUUAAUUGUGACUCUUGCAGAUUUUAGAGGCCCAACCUCUCAAAACUGGUGGUUCAUCUGCUAGCUAUUCCCCUCCUCAAAAGGAUCAAAUCUGCUGAAUACAGGCAGCAUGGGUUUUACCCGUUCAAACGGCAAGUAAUCGGUAUUUUUGGAAAUUAAAAUUUGCAUUUGGUUUUUCAUAUACAUUUGGUUUUUAUGUUUGGGUUGUUUAAAUGGGUGGGGUUGGUUGUAGGCUUUCUCCCCUUUUUUUUCAGUGUGCUGUCCAAGUGCUUUCAUGCUCGAGCUCUGAAGAUCAAACUCUAACACAUUGUAUAUUAAGGUUUGCUUUUGCAUUCAUCAGUCUCUAUUGGUCUUGCAAAGUCUCAAUGUUGGCUCAUGUACUUAACAUUUCAUUGUACUUGGUCAUUCAGUUUCUUGUGACUGCUUGAAUUCUGUAAAUAUUUAUUUUUGAGUAAUAAAUUCAUAGUGUUGUGAUUGAAACGCCUAGUAUGCAUUUUUUUUGGUGUUUGGGAGGGGCUUGUCUUGGGUAUUUCCUGUAUUUUUUCAGGUGUGAAUGUUGAGCUUGGCAAGUUAGUGCACGGGAUGGUCCCAGGGCUUGAUGGCAACUCUUUUCAAGGUGGAAAGGAAGUCAACACAAAUCCGGUCCAACUGCUUUAUGGGAAGCCCAUGUGAAAAGGCAAAGUCCACAUUUGGUUCACUGAAUUUUAUUUUAAUACGGUUUUAUUACAAGUUUGAUUAUGGCAUAGCUUCUUUAAAAGGAACCAGCCCAGUUCUGAUUAUGCUUUGCAAGCAUUUCAAAAUAUUAUUUUGAAUGCUAUGUGAGGGGUGGGCAUGGGGUCUCCUUUUUUGCCUUUUGGUUUUUCAGAAUCAUAAAGCCCUUGAAGAAUGCCAUCUAUCCAGGAAAUAGCAUGUCUAGGAUUCAGCUGCUCCAUUGAAUUCCAACAGGCAGGAUGACUAACUCUGAGGCAAAACUUUAAAGUUACUUGGGCCAUAACUGUGCAACUGUGCAGAUGUGGAUUUAUUUAUUUUAUUUUUUUUAAUCUAAAGCUUUGCAAAUGUAGAGCAAAAACUGUUGUGCAACUGCACUACAAACUCCAAAUUGAGUGGCUGGGUUUAGCUGUGCAACUGUGCAGCUAAAAUUGGGCAAUGUUAUUGACGUGUAUGGAAAAUUUGGUAUUGGCUGGGUAGGGGGCUUUCUCUUAUAUUCUUCUCUGCAGAAAUAUAUUCCUCCAGUUAUCUGAUGCAAACUAGACGGGGUCAUGUGGAGCACGUAGAAACCAGUGUGGUGGAAGUGUGCGUGUGUCUCUCUCUUGAAGCCUCUUUGUUCCAGAUCACUCGUCUGUCAACUUGGUUCAUAACUGCAUCUGAAUGCCUAGCUGUUUGUGGUCAAUGACCCUCACUGAAUGGUGAUCCUUUCUCCUGUCUGCUUGAGAGCUUAAUCCAAACCUCUGAAGGCCCCCGUCAACAUCCUCUGCGUGCUGUGUUGCUGUGUGCGCGUCUUUCUGUUCUGUUUCCCCUCCAUUUUCUCAGGUUAAUUUUGCUAAGGGUGCAAAAUUUGUCUUGAGUGUGCUGCCUUGGACAGCCCUAACUUUGAUGGAGCACUGGGAUAUCCAGUCACUCUCUGAUCAACUUGAGGCUUGUCUUGCUGCUAUUUGAGCAUCACUCUGCUGCUACCUGAUAAUGGAGUUAAGUAAACAUGGUUCAUUUCAUAGGUAUAUGUAGCUUUAAAUUUUAAUUGCAUGCACACCAGCUUUGCACUACAAACAUCCAAGUUUCAUUUAAGGCACUUCAUCUGAAAGUGUAGUUGUUUUGGGUGACAUGGGGGGGGUGGAGGGGUCAGGGAAACACUGUCUCUCUUGUUUUUGCAGAUACACCAUCUUGGCUCGACAAAUCUUACAAUCGUCCUGUAACGUUGAGUGGAUGGAUGUGUGGUCUUAAUGUUCCUACAGUCUGGAGCUGCCAGCUGUCUGCAGUAGUAACAGUCCCUUUUGUAUUGGUUUGGAUGGUUGGAUAAAAUAAUACAAUGAUGUAAUGGGUGGGGGUGGGGGGUUGCCAUAAUCUCUCUCCUUUUUUCUUUUUCCUCCUUCAUUGCAGCUCACAGCAGUGUGGUGAUGGGAACUUUGUAAGGAUUCACUGGUGAAAUUGAUAAGUUUGCUUCAGCCAUUAAGAUUGAUUUCAUAUUAUAAAA